rnacentral:rRNA from 1 species
AGAGAGUUUGAUCAUGGCUCAGGAUGAACGCUAGCGGCAGGCCUAAUACAAGCAAGUCGGACGGGAAUCUCCCUCGGGGGGAUGAGAGUGGCGCACGGGUGCGUAACGCGUAUGCAACCAACCCUCUUCCGGGGGACAGCCGGUGGAAACGCCGGGUAAUACCCCAUGCCGUUGCGGGGAGGCAUCUCCAGCAACGAAAGGCUACGGUCGGAGGAGGACGGGCAUGCGUCCCAUUAGGUAGACGCGGGGUGACGGCCCACCGUGCCAACGAUGGGCAGGGGAUCUGAGAGGACGGUCCCCCACACUGGUACUGAGACACGGACCAGACUCCUACGGGAGGCAGCAGUAAGGAAUAUUGGGCAAUGGGGGGAACCCUGACCCAGCCAUGCCGCGUGAGGGAUGUAGGCCCUACGGGUCGUGAACCUCUUUUAUCUGGGGACAAUGGCGGAGUCGCGAACUCCGUUUGCGGGUACCAGACGAAUAAGCAUCGGCUAACUCCGUGCCAGCCGCGGC